rnacentral:lncRNA from 1 species
UACCUCCUGCAAUCAGUUCUCCUCAAAAUUCACAUUCACAUUCCACUCCUUCCUCAUCUCUUCGACCAAAUAGCCCUUCUCCUACUGCAUUAGCAUUUGGGGACCACCCUAUUGUACAACCAAAGAAGUUAUCCUUUAAAAUUAUUCAGACUGAUCUCACAAUCCUGAAAUUAGCAGCAUUAGAAAGUAAUAAAAUCCAGGACCUGGAAAAGAAGGAAGGAUGUAUAGAUUAUUUGCUCAGGGCUAACCGUGAUCUCAGAUGGCAAAUAGAUGAACAAAAAAAAUUACUUGAAAAAUACAAAGAAUGAUUAAAUAAGUGCAUAUAAAUGAGCAAGAAACUUCUUUUGAAAAGAGUACACAAGAAAAACUGUCAGAGAGAAGAGUAUGCAAGAUUGAUUGCGUCUCAGGCACUUUACAACAGUUAGACAUGGCACUUCAUUUACUGAAUAAUGGAUAGAUGGUUUUGCAUUUCAGACUCUUGUGAAGCAACAAGAAUGGAAUAUUAUGAACAGGAAGAAAUGUUCAAACUUAGACAAGGACAUCUCAGAAAAGAAGAGGCAGAAAUCCAAGCAGAACUUGAACGUUUGGAAAGAGUCAGAAAUCUUCACAUACGUGAGCUGAGAAGAAUAAACAAUGAAGAUAAUUCACAAUUCAAAGAUCACCCAAUGUUAAAUGAAAGAUAUUUAUUACUUCAUCUGCUUGGUAGAGGUGGCUUUAGUGAAGUGUAUAAGGCUUUUGACCUUUAUGAACAAAGCUAUGCUUCUGUGAAGCUACAUCAACUUAAUAAAAGCUGGAGAGAUGAGAAAAAAGAAAACUACUACAAACAUGCCUGCAGUAUAGAAUACACAAAGAACUGGAUCACCCCAGAAUAGUUAAACUCGAUGAUUAUUUCUCCUUGGAUACAGAUAUAUUUUGUACAGUGUUAGAAUACUGUGAAGGCAAUGACUUGGAUUUCUAUCUGAAGCAACACAAGCUAAUGUCAGAGAAAGAAGCUGAGUCUAUUGUAAUGCAGAUUGUAAAUGCACUAAGAUAUCCCAAUGAGAUCAACCCCCAUUAUACAUUAUGAUCUUAAGCCAGGAAACAUCCUUUUGGUAGACAGAACAGCAUGUGGUGAAACCAAAAUCACUGAUUUUGGUCUGUCCAAGAUUAUGGAUGAUGAUAGCUAUGGUGCAGAUGGAAUGAAUCUACCUCCUGAGUGUUUUGUAGUUGGAAAAGAGGCAGCAAAGAUUUCCGAUUUCCAACAAGAUUAAUGUGUGGUCAGUUGGAGUCAUCUUCUUUCAGUGUCUUUAUGGUAGAAAGCCAUUUGGUCACAAUCAAUCUCAACAAGAUAUUCUUCAAGAAAAUACAAUAUUAAAAGCCACAGAUGUCCAGUUUCCUGUAAAACCAGUUGUAAGCAGUGAACCCGAGGCCU